UUAUUUUCAAAACUUUGAAGGGUUUCAAGAUCUUUCCAAGAUCUUUUAGAAUGUACAAAACUACAAAUAUAGGUAUCAAAAACUAGGCCUGCAUUUUUAUUUCUUUUCUAUUUUCUAUUAUAUAGAAAAGAGAAGUUGAUCACGCAAAAUUAUCAUUUUACUUUACCAUUUUAACGAUGCUCGCUAUUUCAACACAAACGAGAUUCUAGAAACAUCUCUCCUCAAUUCCAUCAUAACUUAGGCUACCCUUUGAGUUGUUGUUGUUGUUUUUCUUCUUCUUCAGAAUUUGAAGAAUACGACUACCUGAUUCUUUCUCAGUUUUUGCUCAAAUUGUCUUCUCUCUUCUUCUUAUUCUUCUUCUUUUUUUCUUUUAAUUAUUUGAGAUCUCUUAACAAAUUUCUAUUUCAUGGGUUUAUUCCCUUGGUUAUUGUUAUUCUAUGGUGAUAUAACAUCUUUUAUUUUUGUAAGCAAUGAUUGGC
rnacentral:lncRNA from 1 species